UGCCACUGACAGGGGGUAAGGGAGGGAUGGGGGUGUGAGGUGUGGCUGCUGUUGACAGGGGGUAGGGGACGGAGGGGUGUGAGGUGUGGCUGCCGUUGACAGGGGGUAGGGGAGGGAUGAGGGUGUGAGGUGUGGCUGCCACUGACAGGGGUAGGGGACGGAGGGGUGUGAGGUGUGGCUGCCGUUGACAGAGGGUAAGGGAGGGAUGGGGGUGUGAGGUGUGGCUGCCGUUGACAGAGGGUAAGGGAGGGAGGGGUGUGAGGUGUGGCUGCCACUGAUAGAGGGUAGCGGAGGGAUGGGGGUGUGAGGUGUGGCUGCCAUUGACAGCGGGUAAGGGAGGGAGGGGUGUGAGGUGUGGCUGCCACUGACAGAGGGUAGGGGAGGGAUGGGGGUGUGAGGUGUGGCUGCCACUGACAGAGGGUAGUGGAAGGAGGGGUGUGAGAUGUGGCCAAUUGAAAGGAAGGCCGAAACAGUGAACUGCAGGAUUUAGAAUGAUGCAAAGAAGUUAUGGAAUGGGGGUGAAAUGCUGG